GACAGAGGGUGCAAACGUUGUUCGGAAUUACUGGGCGUAAAGCGUGUGUAGGCGGCCAUGUAAGUCGGAUGUGAAAGCCCCGGGCUCAACCUGGGAAGUGCACUCGAUACUGCGUGGCUUGAGUAUCGGAGAGGUUGGUGGAAUUCUCGGUGUAGAGGUGAAAUUCGUAGAUAUCGAGAGGAACACCGGUGGCGAAGGCGGCCAACUGGACGAAUACUGACGCUGAGACACGAAAGCGUGGGGAGCAAACAGG
rnacentral:rRNA from 1 species